rnacentral:sRNA from 1 species
UUCUCUGAGUGUUGCAGGAAUGGGUUGGGAGGAAUGCUAGAACCCUGAAUUGUCUAUUGGGACAGACACAAGCUGGAAGGAACCCGUGCCUCUGGGAAACAUAAUGAGAUGAGGACUCCAAACCACAGGCUUCCUUCCAAGGAACACACCUGUAGCAUCCCUUCCCCACUGUGAUAGACUGCAUCCCCUCAACUUGGAGGCAAAAUAAUCCUCCCGUUUUACGUCAUCCUCACAGCAAUGAAAUAUGAGCUUAAUAUAGAUGUUGUAUUGUCUUAUGCUUAUUAUAACUUAAUAAAACUCAAUAGAGACUCAAA